rnacentral:sRNA from 20 species
GUAACUAGGAGAUAGCACUGAUGUAACAAAGGGGUAAUGAUAAAUCAUAGUCGUGUGAUUUAUUAAAAACGUGCAAAUCACUAGUUAAUAAACAUCUUCAAUAUUAUUACUUACUUUCCUUUCUAUGCCGACUAGUAUCGCUAGUCGGUUUUUU